rnacentral:rRNA from 1 species
UACAGAGGGUGCAAGCGUUGUCCGGAAUCACUGGGCGUAAAGGGCGCGUAGGCGGUUCGUUAAGUCCUGUGUGAAAUCCCCCGGCUCAACUGGGGAACUGCACAGGAAACUAGCGGGCUUGAGUUCGGGAGAGGGAAGCGGAAUUCCGGGUGUAGCGGUGAAAUGCGUAGAUAUCCGGAGGAACACCGGUGGCGAAGGCGGCUUCCUGGACCGACACUGACGCUGAGGCGCGAAAGCUAGGGGAGCAAACGGG